rnacentral:rRNA from 1 species
GAUGAACGCUGGCGGCGUGCCUAAUACAUGCAAGUCGAGCGAACGGACGAGAAGCUUGCUUCUCUGAUGUUAGCGGCGGACGGGUGAGUAACACGUGGAUAACCUACCUAUAAGACUGGGAUAACUUCGGGAAACCGGAGCUAAUACCGGAUAAUAUUUUGAACCGCAUGGUUCAAAAGUGAAAGACGGUCUUGCUGUCACUUAUAGAUGGAUCCGCGCUGCAUUAGCUAGUUGGUAAGGUAACGGCUUACCAAGGCAACGAUGCAUAGCCGACCUGAGAGGGUGAUCGGCCACACUGGAACUGAGACACGGUCCAGACUCCUACGGGAGGCAGCAGUAGGGAAUCUUCCGCAAUGGGCGAAAGCCUGACGGAGCAACGCCGCGUGAGUGAUGAAGGUCUUCGGAUCGUAAAACUCUGUUAUUAGGGAAGAACAUAUGUGUAAGUAACUGUGCACAUCUUGACGGUACCUAAUCAGAAAGCCACGGCUAACUACGUGCCAGCAGCCGCGGUAAUACGUAGGUGGCAAGCGUUAUCCGGAAUUAUUGGGCGUAAAGCGCGCGUAGGCGGUUUUUUAAGUCUGAUGUGAAAGCCCACGGCUCAACCGUGGAGGGUCAUUGGAAACUGGAAAACUUGAGUGCAGAAGAGGAAAGUGGAAUUCCAUGUGUAGCGGUGAAAUGCGCAGAGAUAUGGAGGAACACCAGUGGCGAAGGCGACUUUCUGGUCUGUAACUGACGCUGAUGUGCGAAAGCGUAGGGAUCAAACAGGAUUAGAUACCCUGGUAGUCCACGCCGUAAACGAUGAGUGCUAAGUGUUAGGGGGUUUCCGCCCCUUAGUGCUGCAGCUAACGCAUUAAGCACUCCGCCUGGGGAGUACGACCGCAAGGUUGAAACUCAAAGGAAUUGACGGGGACCCGCACAAGCGGUGGAGCAUGUGGUUUAAUUCGAAGCAACGCGAAGAACCUUACCAAAUCUUGACAUCCUUUGACAACUCUAGAGAUAGAGCUUUCCCCUUCGGGGGACAAAGUGACAGGUGGUGCAUGGUUGUCGUCAGCUCGUGUCGUGAGAUGUUGGGUUAAGUCCCGCAACGAGCGCAACCCUUAAGCUUAGUUGCCAUCAUUAAGUUGGGCACUCUAAGUUGACUGCCGGUGACAAACCGGAGGAAGGUGGGGAUGACGUCAAAUCAUCAUGCCCCUUAUGAUUUGGGCUACACACGUGCUACAAUGGACAAUACAAAGGGCAGCGAAACCGUGAGGUCAAGCAAAUCCCAUAAAGUUGUUCUCAGUUCGGAUUGUAGUCUGCAACUCGACUACAUGAAGCUGGAAUCGCUAGUAAUCGUAGAUCAGCAUGCUACGGUGAAUACGUUCCCGGGUCU